CCCAUGCAUUCUUGCUUCUCCCUCUGCCAUGUCAUGAUGGAACACAAGCCUUCACUAGAUGUUAAUGCCAUGCUCUUGGACUUGCAGAACCAUGAGGUAAAUAAACUUGUUGCUUAUAAAUUACCCGGUCUGUGAUAUUUUGUUGUAGAGGCAGAGAAAGGACCAGGACUGAGUCAGAGUGAGAAAAGAAGACGCUGCCUCCUGAGGAAGGUGUCAGCUCCUAUGAAGUCUGAAACCCCUCGAUGCACAAGGAAACACACUUCCUUUGGUGGUAACCAGAGCACAGUAGCUGCACAAAACUACUCCGUGGUCACAAUUACAACAUGUAGGAAGCCUCAUCUUUUUUUUGAGGAAGGUAGGUAAGCC
rnacentral:lncRNA from 1 species